rnacentral:SRP_RNA from 1 species
GCUGGGCAUGGUGGUGCAUGCCUGUAUUCCCAGCUACUCAGGAGGUUGAGGUGCAAGGAUCACUUGAGCCCAGGAGUUCAAGGCUGCAGUGAGCCGAGAUCACACCACCACUGCGUUCCAGCCUGGGCAACAGAGUAAGAUCCCAUCUCUA